CUCUGGCCGCCCUCCCGAAGGAUCCCUGUGGUGCCAGGCAGGAAUGGCCUGCUUGGGGACCCUGCGAACUCCCAGAGCCUUUCCUGCUGCUUCCUCUACCCCUGUAUUUUGCUCGGCUCUCUAAAUUGACUCAGCUCCAGGAGGCUGUAAAAGAAUUCAUUGAGCCUGAAAUAGACGAGUCUUUUAAAGAAGAUGAAGAAGAAAGUAAGGAGGAUAGGAAACUUCAGGAGGAAAAUAAAGAGAGAGCAGAAGAA
rnacentral:lncRNA from 1 species